rnacentral:rRNA from 1 species
GUUCGAAAGCGUGGGUAGCAAACAGGAUUAGAUACCCUGGUAGUCCACGCCGUAAACGAUGUCUACUAGUCGUUGGGUCCCUUGAGGACUUAGUGACGCAGCUAACGCAAUAAGUAGACCGCCUGGGGAGUACGGCCGCAAGGUUAAAACUCAAAUGAAUUGACGGGGGCCCGCACAAGCGGUGGAGCAUGUGGUUUAAUUCGAUGCAACGCGAAGAACCUUACCUGGUCUUGACAUAUCUAGAAUCCUGCAGAGAUGCGGGAGUGCCUUCGGGAAUUAGAAUACAGGUGCUGCAUGGCUGUCGUCAGCUCGUGUCGUGAGAUGUUGGGUUAAGUCCCGCAACGAGCGCAACCCUUGUCCUUAGUUACCAGCGGGUUAAGCCGGGAACUCUAAGGAUACUGCCAGUGACAAACUGGAGGAAGGCGGGGACGACGUCAAGUCAUCAUGGCCCUUACGACCAGGGCUACACACGUGCUACAAUGGUAGGUACAGAGGGCAGCUACACAGCGAUGUGAUGCGAAUCUUUCAAAGCCUAUCGUAGUCCAGAUUGGAGUCUGCAACUCGACUCCAUGAAGUAGGAAUCGCUAGUAAUCGCGGAUCAGAAUGCCGCGGUGAAUACGUUCCCGGGCCUUGUACACACCGCCCGUCACACCAUGGGAGUUGAUUGCACCAGAAGUGGUUAGCCUAACUUAGUGAGGGCGAUCACCACGGUGUGGUCGAUGACUGGGGUGAAGUCGUAACAAGGUAGCCGUAGGGGAACCUGCGGCUG